CUCAGCUGGGCAUGGUAAUCCCUACUACUAGGGGGGGAAGGUCUCAGAUCUCCUGAACUCAGGAGUUCUUAGCUGCAAAGGGCUAAGGUGAUUGGGUGUCCACACAAAGUUUAGCAUUUAUAUUGUGAGCCCUUGGGAGUGGUAGGUUAUCAUAUUGCUUAAGGAGGGAUGUAACAGCCCAGGUCAGAAAUGGAUCAGGUCAAAACUCCCAUGCCAAUCGGAAUAGGAUUGAGCCCAUGCAAUAACCCUUGUUCUACCAGCCUGGGUGAAAUAGGGAAACCCAAUCUUUU
rnacentral:SRP_RNA from 1 species